GCGGGGUCCGCGGUGUCGCGGCGCGAUGGGGCUGGCGGCGGCGCGGGGCUGGGCGCUGUCGCCGCUGUCGCCGGGCCCGGCGGAGCGCAGCCGGCCCUACGCUGUGCUGCAGCAUCAGAACUUGGUGCUGCUGGGCAGCAUCCUCAGCGCUCUGCUGCUCACCAUCAUCCUCAUGGCCAUCUGUGUGUACCGGCCCGUCCGGCGGCGGUAGCGGAGCGGGACCCGCCGGGGCAUCGAGAGAAUGCUGCAUCCCACACGGAUCUCCCACCUGGAAUCCGCCAUCCCAGCACCGCUUCAGCCCUGCCGGUUCUCCCGCCUGGUACCCACCGUCCCGGCACUGCUCCGGACCCAGCAGGUUCUCCCCUCCGGUUCCCACCGUGCCAGCGCUGCUCCGGUCCCGCCCGGUUCUCCCCUCCGCUCCCGGCAGCUGCUGGGGAUGCGCUGAGGAUGCGAGCGUGGCUUUUCCUCCAUCUCUGCCCGUGCUGUAUCCCGUGGCUCCAUCGUGAUGUGGCUUCCAGCAGUGCUCUGGCCGGCUGCUGGAAAUCAUCCUCUUCCUCAGCAAAGACUCCUGGAGCGUGUCCGCAGCGAACCCGCCUGGCUCGGAGCAGGGGCUGAGCAGCGCCUCCCAAAUCCCCGCGUUUUGGCGAGGCUGAGCCGACCCCGUGUGCUCCAGAGCAUCCCCGGGGCGUGCAGGCACCCGGGGCCUCGGAUGGCACAAGGACAGGGCGAGGCUGGCGGCAUUGUCCGAGGAGCAGCUCCACGUGCUCGGUCACACCACCUCUGCUUUUUGCUUUCUGAUUAAUUCAGGUCCUUGUUUGAACGCCGAGUCCUGGGGGUUGGACGGGGCUCGGAGCAAGCUGGGGUGGUGGGGGGUGUCCCUGUCAGGGCAGGGGGUAGAACAGGAUGAGCUUUAAGGUCCCAUUCAAAAAUAUUCCAAAGGUAAAAGCCCAGUGAGCCAGCAGUGGGUGGAGGGUCUGGUCCAUUCCUGCCUCUGAGCAGAAACACUGAUGCAGUUUUCCCAAACCAGGCUUCUCAUUCCCAACAUUAUUUGCUUUAACUCCCGGCUAAAAAGCCCCAAAUAACCUCCCAUCAAACCAGCCCUGCCGAAGCUGUUGGGAACUGGGCUGCAGGUGAGGGGUUCCAGCGUGUGCUGGUCACUGUCCUGCAAACAGGAGCCUCCAAAGGUCUCCAAGCCAGGCAGAUGCUCUGGAAGAGUCUGAGCUCCAGCCAGACCCAUUUUAUGCAGUUUCAGUAACAAGUGUUUACACUGAAUCCCACUUCCAUACGAAUGCUGCUAUUUUGUUUUGCACUGCUACAAGUAGGAACUGGAUUUUACUAAUUAUUACUUUAAUAUUUAACAUAGGGGUGUUUUGCUUAGUAAUUUAUUUAGAGUUUUAAAAUGUAACUUCCAGAACAAUUGUUGUUGACCUGUUCUCAAGCCCUCGUGCUGCAUCUGAGGUGUUUGCUGUUCUGUUUCAAGGACACUGAGUGCUGGCAUUGAACAGGGAUUUUCUUUGUUUUGAGAAAUGACAGAGUGAGCCUGGCCUCGAGCAGAUGGAGUUGUUAAUCCAAGAGUGAGGCAGCAAGGCAGCACUGUUCUUUCUAUUGCUUUCUGCUCCUUCUUUUGAUUCCUGUGCUCCUGAUUUUCCUUGCUCCUUCAUCUCUGUGAAGCCUGGCCUGCAGCCUGUGCUGCUCGUGGGGGUGGAUGGUGAAGCUCCCAGCCCCAGCUCUGCAUUCCCAGGAGCAGAAUUCCUGUUUGCUCUCAUUCCUCACUCCCUGCUAUGCCUCUUUGUACAAAUAAAACGCUCAGUAAACAA